rnacentral:lncRNA from 1 species
GCUGUACAUAUUCUGUGCUGGGCAUAGUUACAUCAGGCCUUAACUAAACAUUUCUGCCAUUCUAUUUUAUUGUACUGUAAAUGCAUUAUUAUUCAUGGGAUACCAAUUUUUUUUUUUUAUUUCCCGGCCAAAGGUAAACCAUAAAUUAAAACAAGAAUGUGUCCAUAGUACACAGAAGCGUCACAUGUACCAUCAUUUUCUAUAUUCAGUG